rnacentral:rRNA from 1 species
GAUGAACGCUGGCGGCGUGCCUAAUACAUGCAAGUCGAGCGAACAGACGAGGAGCUUGCUUCUCUGACGUUAGCGGCGGACGGGUGAGUAACACGUGGAUAACCUACCUAUAAGACUGGGAUAACUUCGGGAAACCGGAGCUAAUACCGGAUAAUAUAUUGAACCGCAUGGUUCAAUAGUGAAAGACGGUUUUGCUGUCACUUAUAGAUGGAUCCGCGCCGCAUUAGCUAGUUGGUAAGGUAACGGCUUACCAAGGCAACGAUGCGUAGCCGACCUGAGAGGGUGAUCGGCCACACUGGAACUGAGACACGGUCCAGACUCCUACGGGAGGCAGCAGUAGGGAAUCUUCCGCAAUGGGCGAAAGCCUGACGGAGCAACGCCGCGUGAGCGAUGAAGGUCUUCGGAUCGUAAAACUCUGUUAUUAGGGAAGAACAAAUGUGUAAGUAACUAUGCACGUCUUGACGGUACCUAAUCAGAAAGCCACGGCUAACUACGUG